rnacentral:tRNA from 1 species
GCCUGGGUGGCUCAGUCAGUUGAGCAUCCAACUUUGGCUCAGGUCAUGACCUCAUGCAUGGUUCAUGGGUUCAAACCCCGCCUCAGGCU